rnacentral:rRNA from 1 species
AUUGAACGCUGGCGGCAUGCCUUACACAUGCAAGUCGAACGGCAGCACGGGGGCAACCCUGGUGGCGAGUGGCGAACGGGUGAGUAAUACAUCGGAACGUGCCCAGUAGUGGGGGAUAGCCCGGCGAAAGCCGGAUUAAUACCGCAUACGACCUACGGGUGAAAGCGGGGAUCGCAAGACCUCGCGCUAUUGGAGCGGCCGAUGUCAGAUUAGGUUGUUGGUGGGGUAAAGGCCUACCAAGCCUACGAUCUGUAGCUGGUCUGAGAGGACGACCAGCCACACUGGGACUGAGACACGGCCCAGACUCCUACGGGAGGCAGCAGUGGGGAAUUUUGGACAAUGGGGGCAACCCUGAUCCAGCCAUGCCGCGUGCGGGAAGAAGGCC